GGGCCAGAUAAGGCAAUAAAAGCUGGCCACUCUAGCCAGCAACGGCAGCUGGCUGCUUUCUGUUGGCAUGCAGUGUGGUGUUUGUUCUUUUGCUCUUUGCAAUAAAUCUUGUUGCUGCUCACUGUUUGGGUCUGCACUGCCUUUAUGAGCUGUAACACUUAUUGUGAAGGUCUGCAGGUUGACUCCUGAGGCCAGGGAGACCACGAACCCACCGGUAGGAAGAAACUCUGGACACAUCCGAACAUCAGAAGGAGCAAACUCCAGACACACCAUCUUUAAGAACUGCAACACUCACCGGAGGGUCCGCGGCUUCAUUGUUGAAGUCAGCGAGACCAAGAACCCACCAAUUCCAGAUGCAGUCUCACCUGUAUAUGGAAUUUAAUAAAGCCAGACUCAUGGAAGCAGAGAGUAGAGCAGAGGUUGCCAGAAGCUUGGAUUGGAGGAGAGAUUUGUGAUCUUACUUAGAUGAUGUGUGAGACAGUAAAUGAAAUGAGGAGCAUUCACUUAAAUGUUGCUGAGCAUUUCUGUCUUCUGGGCUCCAGUAUCUGAGAGUUGAUUAUGAGUUUCUUCUAAUAUCAUAAGAAUGAAGGCAUACAAACAUCUUGAAGUACAAUAUGAAAUUUUAGAGACGGGGUUUCACCGUGUUAGCCAG
rnacentral:lncRNA from 1 species